CUAUUGAAUUAUUUUACUUUUUGUAUUACAUGGUUUAGUAUUUUAACACUAGUCCUUUGAGAGACUUGAUUUCUCUAAAGCAGAUUCCUUGAGUUCUUAGUUAGAAGUAAGCAAAAUAGAAAUCCACCAUAAGAACACUGUGUAGCUUAUUUUUCCUCUUUUUAGUUUAUGGUAAAUUUUGCUCAUCAAAUGGUAGACACAUUUUGUUAUUGUUUCCUUAAAGAGUUAUUUCUCUUACUUUUAGAAUCCAAAGAUGAGCAUUUAAGAAGGUAUGAGGGCAACCUUGAGAAAAGAGAAAAAAUACCAAACGGAAAAACAGAGAAAUUCACAGAAAAUGCUUACAAUAAUUACCGAGCCCCUGAAAAAAAGCAGUGCAUGUGUUUAUGCACAAAAUCACAUCAUCCAUCAUAACAGCAAAUAUUCCCACAGAAGAUGCUGCAUAUUAAUCAUGUUAUAUUCACUGAUCAGCGAUUCAUUUGGAUAGCCCUGAUCCACUCUUUGGGAAUUGUCUAAGGCGUUUUGGUAUUUCUGAACCCCAUCCAAAGAUUUGCUAUGAUCCAAGAGCCAAGAUACAAUGGGCGUCACAUGACCUUUAAACCUUUUGAGUUUAAGCACUUCCAGGAGUUAAUGUCAACAUGUCAACAACUAAGCAGUGGUUUUGGACUUGGGCAUCUAAAUACUCAUUUAUGCUCUGGACAGCUCCAGCGAAUGCUGCCAUGACAGGAGCGUGCGGAGACAGGCAGCCCACCAGUGAUGCAGGGUAGAGCACGGUAAAGGCCAAUAGUUCUGGGACGGGAAUAGAGAAAACUCUGG